rnacentral:rRNA from 1 species
AUACGGAGGGUGCAAGCGUUAAUCGGAAUUACAGGGCGUAAAGCGUACGUAGGCGGUUCGUUAAGUUAGAUGUGAAAGCCCCGGGCUUAACCUGGGAACUGCAUUUAAAACUGGCGAACUAGAGUUGAGUAGAGGGGAGUGGAAUUUCAGGUGUAGCGGUGAAAUGCGUAGAGAUCCGAAGGAACACCAGUGGCGAAGGCGACUCCCUGGACUCAAACUGACGCUGAGGUACGAAAGCGUGGGUAGCAAACGGGAUUAGAAACCCUAGUAGUCC